CAGCCUAAAUGGAAAUGGUAUCUUCUACUAGUCACUGAGAAGUUGAGUCACCUCAUCCUUUUUUACCUGAAAGGAAGAGUGGAAGAUAAGAGUGCAGGUUAAAAUAUAUACCAAGAAGUCAUUAAACAUUUUCAAAGGUA